UUUUUUUUUACAAAUAAUUGUUAUCUUAAAAAAAAAAACAAUACCUACUUUUGUGCGCAAAACCCAAUUAUUUUAAAAGGUGCUCCAGGUGGAGAAAAUUCUAAUUGUUUUAAUUAACACCUACAUACCUACAUUAAUUUGGUGUUUUAUUAAACAUUACUGCUUAAAAUUAAAGGUGCUCCAGAGUAAAAAUCGAUCGAAUUCGAUUCGAAACUAAAAACCCGACCAUCCAAUCAGACUUUUUAAAGUCUAAAAGUGCUCUUUUUGCUAAGCCGCACAAUAUCGCCCAAAUUCAGAAAAAAAAAACUAUUUGACUCGCAGCCUGAGCAAACAAAAAAAAAAUCACCCCCAAAAUCUCCAUCUUGGCACCUUUAUUUUAUUUAAAUGUGUAAAAAAAGUACAUAUUUUUAUUUUUUUUGAUCCUGUUUAAAAAUCCUGCAAGGACUAAAUAAAAUUAACAGCAAAAAAAAAAAUACAACACACACUCUCAACUCAACAAUCAAAAUCAUCCAAACUUUCAUCCUCGGAAAACAUCCAGGAAAACAUCUAAAAUUGCACUUAUAACCUAAAUAAGCAAUAUCCAGGAAAAACAUAUAAAAUCAUCUUCUACCUGAGCCUUCAUCUCAUCACGUUUCAAAAAAAAAAUCAUCACAAAACCUAUAAAAGCUAAGUACCUAAAAAUCUUUCUUUCAAGUAAAAAAAUAAAAAAAAAAGUUUUAUAAAUCUUAAAUUAUUGCAUAUCUACUAUUUGACCUUGUACAUUCAAUUCGUUCAAAUUUCUUUUUUCUAUUUUACCCUAUUUUAGUCUAGCUUUAAAAUAAAUAAGCAAAAUCAUAACAAAACAACAACAAAAACUCAAUCCUGCGAUGGUGUGCACAUUAUCAGGAGGAAAUGACCAAAUGUGAAUUAUAAACAACGAAGAACAAAAAUACAAUUCACCACUGUAACACAUAAAAAUAUGCAAAAUUGCAAAACAAUUUGUGGGGUAAGUGAGAAUAUUAAUUUAUUGAUUGAAAAUUUGAACGAACGAAUAUAAUUUAAUUUAAUUUAAAUAAUUUUUAAUUGUUGCAAAUUUAAACAUAAAAGAUAAAGAUAUUUGAAAAGUGAAAACAAGAAAGAUACGAAAGAUAAGAAUAAUAAGAUUAAAGAGAAAGAUAGAAAAAAAUAUAUAUAGAGAAAAAGAAAGAAAAAAAGUACACUGAAACUUUCUAAUUGAUAAUUUUUUUUGUUGACAUUGCUAAGGAA